AUGGAUCAUUGUCAUGUGCUGUUACUGCUGGUGGCAUGGCAGCCAGACAAAACUACGCUUUGGAGAUGGAAAUGUUUUAAUGGAAAAACAAUAAUCACUGUCAGGCUCUCCAUCUGUGUUCAUGGUCCUGCCAUCAGGUUUCACCAGACUGCUGUUUUGUGGAAGCCCAGCCCUGGUCACAGCCAUCAGUCAGCUGAGGUACUUGCUCCUCUCUCUGCUCCUUACUCACGAGCAGACCCUGCUUGCAGCACUUCAGCAAUUUGGCAAGGAGAGAGCCAGGAUGAGGCUAUACUGAAUCUCCUCUUCAUGCUGCAACGUCCCUACUCUUGAAUGUGUUGUCCUUAACUCAUUCCCACAACUGCACCAGCCAUGGGGGGACUGGGAAUGCACUGCAAUGCUCAGGGGCAUGUGCCAAGUCCAUAUUUUUCUGGGACCAGCGGUAGGCCACCACCAAGAGCCUUCUCCCACCAGAAGGUAUGUGCCUCUUGUUGAUGCAGCCAACGUAUUAGUGGCAAGAGCUCAAACUGAGCUUGGAGUGCAUGGGGAGGCUGUAGAGAGGAAGCCCAGGUUAGUGGGACUUCAAGGAAACCUGUCCACAGCCUCUGUUUCAUUGUCAUCACCUAACGCUUGAGAACCUUCCUGUGAUACCAGGAUGGCCAUUUGUUAUGGUUAUCACAACGGUAAAAUUGUCAUGGGUAAAAACAUCCCAUUGUCCAGAAAUACAAGACAAUAGUGUCGGCAAAGAGGGCCCAUCCUCCACACCCCCUUCCCCUCACAACUCCUCCACACUCAGGAAGUGGCAAGGCUGUACUGUGUGGCCAAAAACAAGGCAGCAAAACUCUAGUGAAAAAGGGGAGUUAGAGCUGAUCGGUAAGCCAGGCAUGGGCACUGAACAUCUCUCAAGAGAUAAGUUUCUGAUGCUUGAUUCUUUUCAGUCCUUUUGGAGACCGUGAUAAGGAGGCGGCAGUUGCUUUGUCAGGGUUGCUCACGCUCUUUUGUGCAGUGUUCAGUCACUGAACUUGCUCAGAUAAGACAAACAUCUAAACUCCAUUUCCGGAGACACAUACCAGGCUUUGCACUCAGGCAAUGGUUAUACCAGCAGUGGGCUACUAGAGGCAAAACUGAUCUCGAAAGGCUGUGAGAAGGAUUCUCUAUAGCAGCUGGUGCUUCUGCAUCUCUUGUGCUCCAAAACUGGAAUCCAGGCUUUCAAAGGGGCCCAAAAACGCUGGGGUAUUUGGCAAAGGUGGCCACUGGUAUCCCACUGGGAGCAGUGGUGGGGUGAAGGACUUCUGAAAAACUGAUCCAAAUUCUGGGUGCUCUGGGCUUUGCA
rnacentral:lncRNA from 1 species